GACGAACGCUGGCGGCGUGCCUAAUACAUGCAAGUCGAACGCAGUGGGGACGGGUGAGUAACACGUGGGUAACCUCCCAUCAGAGGGGAUAACACUUGGAAACAGGUGCUAAACCGAUACUGCUGGAUGGACCCGCGGUGCAUUAGCUAGUUGGUGAGGUAACGGCUCACCAAGGCCACGAUGCAUAGCCGACCGUGGAGGGUGAUCGUCCACACCGGGACUGAGACACGGCCCAGACUCCUACGGGAGGCAGCAGUAGGGAAUCUUCGGCAAUGGACGAAAGCCUGAUCCAGCCAUGCCGCGUGUGUGAAGAAGGUCUUCGGAUUGUAAAGUACUUUUGGCAGAGAAGCGGUAUCUGCAGAAUAAGCACCGGCUAACUACGUGCCAGCAGCCGCGGUAAUAC
rnacentral:rRNA from 1 species